ACUGUAAAAAUAAUGGACGGGACAAGGUCCCCGGUCUAGUGAAGCUUUUAUUUUUAGAGCUCCCCCUGCUGACUGGCUGCAGUAUAGGUCAUAAACCCCGCCUCCUCAAUGAUAACAGACGGGAUGUGGGUCAAACUGUAAAGCUAAAAUACUCGUCACAUCAUUUUUUUCCAAACCUAAACUCUGCUGUGAUCAUUAGUUAUUAUCACCUUACAUUGUGUUCAAGUGCUCAUUUUUCUGUGAAGUUUGUUUUAAAUAAGUUAUUUGAGGUUGAAAAACGGGAUUUUACGUCAUAUUUGACGAUGAUUGACAGCCGCCGAUCUUGCGUAGCUCUCUUUGUGAAUAGCAAAAGUUACGUAGUGAAGGAAAGCCGAGACGCCAUUGAAUUUUUCCGUUCAGUUUUUUCGUCUUUUUUGAGCUGGCAAAAUGAGUUGUUCUGCAGUAAACUGUUCUAACCGACCUGUGGGAGCUAAGGGAUCUUUGCAGUUUUUUCGGUAAGUAAAAAAGUGUGAUUUAUGUGUCAUUGGUUGGUUAAAGUCAUUAUCUAGCUAGCUAACACAUAAGCAGUCUAAGGUUAGCUGAAAUGUUGUAAAGCUAGGUUACUUAUCCGGCAUGAUUUAUCUUUUUAUUUUUUAAAAUGAGCAAACCUAAUAACUGACAUGCUAUGUUUCUUGAUAUUGUUAUAUCAUUAUUGUGAUUUAAAUUGUAUUUAAAACCAAGAAUCGUAAUAUAAAAUCCACUCAUAGAUGAGGAUCAUUGACUGUACAGUUAUUUUACAGCAAAAAUAAAUAGUCUGGUAAAGUCUCAAAAAAGUAUCUAGGGCAAAAACAAAGCCAAAUAAUUGUAAUCUGGCCUGCAUCAUUACUAAUGUGUACAUGUUUACAGUCUGAGUGAUAAGUGGACUAUACCGAGAGUAACAGGUUUUACUUUCACCGUGCGGGCUGAAAUUCAUAGUACUAUAUACGAGGGUAGAAUAUUUCUCUAUGUAUCCAGAUAAAACUAAAGGUGACCAUGAUGCAGCCAGACUGAAGCAGCAGGUUGUGAAGGUGGACACCAUCAUCUUGUCUUUGCAGCGCUGAUUCUGAAGAGAACGCCUUCAUAUAGGACUCAAAGGAAAUCAAUGCCCAAAGGAAACAGCAGUCCAGAGUCUGAUUCCAGCUCCCGUGAGGUUCUGCACACAAAUUGGCUGUCUGAUUAUAUGAGAAUAUUUAACAUUAGUUUAAUUUAUCAGGCUGGCCCAUGUGAUGACAGUUUAAAAUAAUCUUCAAUAGAAAGUGGCAGGAACACUUGUCUUAAAA